rnacentral:misc_RNA from 1 species
UCCUUAAUAUAAGCACUAAUUAAGCUAAUCAAUCACCUGAUUUUCUCUUCAGCAUAUCCCAUAAAGUAAGUAAAAUCUCACCAAUUCCAACAAUAACUAUAUAACAAAAUAUGCUCCUCCCAAAGAACAAAAUAAUAAUGAAUUAACCAAAUUGUAUAGAAUUUCAGUUUAUACAUAUCCAAGCUGAACAAGCAUAGUACAUCUACAAGCUGAAAUAUAUAUAUAUAAGAUGCUUAAUAAGUGAUGGCAAAAGAACUUCAAACAGCUGAUGCAGACAUGAGAGAGGUAAAUUUAUGUCAUCUCUCCCUACCCUGUGGCAGAGAAAAACCCUAAAGGUAGGAGGGUAAAGUUUCGUCCACUAAAUUUCACCUCACUGGACUUCUUUUCUAGCCUAUGACAAACCAAAGACCUGUCAUAAUUCCACGUAGACCUAUGCCUCAAGUCAUGUAAAUAAGUAAUCAAACAGAACAUAAUUUUGGUGAUGUCACUGAAUAAGUAAUCCAAUAGACUUGAACAGUUUGGAAAUCUGAUCCAAAAAAUAGUUUUAAGUUUAAAUGAACGUAAAAAGGAGCAGCAUGAUAGAUAGUGGGUACCUAGCAGCAGAGGAUUGACUAUUAAAAGCUGCUUAAGUAUGACUUCACUCCCUAAUAACAUGAACAGGAACUAUAGUCUGUAUCCCCACCAACAUAAAUUCCGUUAGACUUCAUAAGCCAACCCAAUGAACUGACAAAAAUAUGAGAAUUAAAACUUUAUAAUGUCUUCCAUCCUUGGAAACAUCAACCAAUCCCACUUUUUUUUUCCUAUAGAACAUAGAAAUGUUAUUGAUAAUGUUGGAAUCCCUUAAUUAGUGC